rnacentral:rRNA from 1 species
CGACUUGGAGGUUGUGCCCUUGAGGCGUGGCUUCCGGAGCUAACGCGUUAAGUCGACCGCCUGGGGAGUACGGCCGCAAGGUUAAAACUCAAAUGAAUUGACGGGGGCCCGCACAAGCGGUGGAGCAUGUGGUUUAAUUCGAUGCAACGCGAAGAACCUUACCUACUCUUGACAUCCAGAGAACUUUCCAGAGAUGGAUUGGUGCCUUCGGGAACUCUGAGACAGGUGCUGCAUGGCUGUCGUCAGCUCGUGUUGUGAAAUGUUGGGUUAAGUCCCGCAACGAGCGCAACCCUUAUCCUUUGUUGCCAGCGGUCCGGCCGGGAACUCAAAGGAGACUGCCAGUGAUAAACUGGAGGAAGGUGGGGAUGACGUCAAGUCAUCAUGGCCCUUACGAGUAGGGCUACACACGUGCUACAGUGGCGCAUACAAAGAGAAGCGACCUCGCGAGAGCAAGCGGACCUCAUAAAGUGCGUCGUAGUCCGGAUUGGAGUCUGCAACUCGACUCCAUGAAGUCGGAAUCGCUAGUAAUCGUAGAUCAGAAUGCUACGGUGAAUACGUUCCCGGGCCUUGUACACACCGCCCGUCACACCAUGGGAGUGGGUUGCAAAAGAAGUAGGUAGCUUAACCUUCGGGAGGGCGCUUACCACUUUGUGAUUCAUGACUGGGGUGAAGUCGUAACAAGGUAGC